GAUGAACGCUAGCGGCAGGCUUAACACAUGCAAGUCGAGGGGUAUAGGUUUUCGGACCUAGAGACCGGCGCACGGGUGCGUAACGCGUAUGCAAUCUACCUUUCACAGAGGGAUAGCCCAGAGAAAUUUGGAUUAAUACCUCAUAGUAUAGCAGUUUCGCAUGAAACCACUAUUAAAGUAUCAACGGUGAAAGAUGAGCAUGCGUCCCAUUAGCUAGAUGGUAAGGUAACGGCUUACCAUGGCUACGAUGGGUAGGGGUCCUGAGAGGGAGAUCCCCCACACUGGUACUGAGACACGGACCAGACUCCUACGGGAGGCAGCAGUGAGGAAUAUUGGUCAAUGGACGCAAGUCUGAUCCAGCCAUGCCGCGUGCAGGAUGACGGUCCUAUGGAUUGUAAACUGCUUUUGUACGAGAAGAAACAACAUUACGUGUAAUGUCUUGACGGUAUCGUAAGAAUAAGGAUCGGCUAACUACGUGCCAGCCGCCGCAGUAAGAC
rnacentral:rRNA from 1 species